CCAAAAAUUCCCCCAAGAGCAAGCAUGGUGCGACAGUGCGACGAAAAACUCCCUUUUAAGAAGAAACCUCGGUCAGACCCAGGCUCUUGGUAGGCGGUGUGUGACAGUGCCGGUUGGGGAUGUGAUG